CCUACGGGUGGCUGCAGUGGGGAAUAUUGGACAAUGGGGGGAACCCUGAUCCAGCGACGCCGCGUGAGUGAAGAAGUAUUUCGGUAUGUAAAGCUCUAUCAGCAGGGAAGAAAGAAAUGACGGUACCUGACUAAGAAGCCCCGGCUAACUACGUGCCAGCAGCCGCGGUAAUACGUAGGGGGCAAGCGUUAUCCGGAUUUACUGGGUGUAAAGGGAGCGUAGACGGCAGUGCAAGUCUGGAGUGAAAGGCGGGGGCUCAACCCCCGGACUGCUCUGGAAACUGUACGGCUGGAGUGCAGGAGAGGUAAGUGGAAUUCCUAGUGUAGCGGUGAAAUGCGUAGAUAUUAGGAGGAACACCAGUGGCGAAGGCGGCUUACUGGACUGUAACUGACGUUGAGGCUCGAAAGCGUGGGGAGCAAACAGGAUUAGAUACCCUUGUAGUC
rnacentral:rRNA from 1 species